rnacentral:rRNA from 1 species
AACGAACGCUGGCGGCAGGCUUAACACAUGCAAGUCGAACGCCCCGCAAGGGGAGUGGCAGACGGGUGAGUAACGCGUGGGAACGUACCUUUCAGUUCGGAAUAACUCAGGGAAACUUGUGCUAAUACCGGAUACGCCCGCAAGGGGAAAGAUUUAUCGCUGAAAGAUCGGCCCGCGUUGGAUUAGCUAGUUGGUGGGGUAAAGGCCUACCAAGGCGACGAUCCAUAGCUGGUCUGAGAGGAUGAUCAGCCACACUGGGACUGAGACACGGCCCAGACUCCUACGGGAGGCAGCAGUGGGGAAUAUUGGACAAUGGGCGCAAGCCUGAUCCAGCCAUGCCGCGUGUGUGAUGAAGGCCUUAGGGUUGUAAAGCACUUUCACCGAUGAAGAUAAUGACGGUAGUCGGAGAAGAAGCCCCGGCUAACUUCCGUG